rnacentral:lncRNA from 1 species
GUUAGACCAUUGCUAGAUGGAAGAGCGCAUUAUUAAAUAUUUAUUCCCCAUGUAGAUACAAUGGCCAUCCACUCCUGAGUGCCGUAGUUUUAUUCCAGAAAUGAUGAGCACCCGCAACUCACACUGAAGUCAACAUCUUUGGAUCAAAUAUGCCCUCAAUCACAGCUUUGCAAUCUCAGUGACUUCAGAGGGACUGUUUACCCGUCUGUCAAACAGCGUCCCUGCUGGUUCUUCAUUCAGCAUCUGUGCAGCCACGUUCUAUUGAUGGCCUGUUGUGAUUUCAAUGGAACAUCAUGGGAAUGUACCUGGCACGUCAGGCAGCACUGGAUGGAGGUGCCCUUAGUCCUAUGCACCUGGCAUGGAUCCUUGAUGAGGUUCACACCUCUGGAAAUGGUGCAUGCUAAGCGGUUGCUGUUACUGCAGGGUCACUGAAACUGGGCAGGAGCCUUCCUUUUAUAUCUGGGU